UGGGGGAUAUUGCACAAUGGGCGAAAGCCUGAUGCAGCGACGCCGCGUGGGGGAUGAAGGCCUUCGGGUUGUAAACUUCUUUUGCUCUGAACAAGGCAUGCCUUUGGGGUGUGUUGAGUGUAGGGGUUGAUUAGCGCCGGCUAACUACGUGCCAGCAGCCGCGGUAAUACGUAGGGCGCGAGCGUUGUCCGGAAUUAUUGGGCGUAAAGGGCUUGUAGGUGGCUGGUUGCGUCUGUCGUGAAAGCUCAUGGCUUAACUGUGGGUUUGCGGUGGGUACGGGCUGGCUUGAGUGCAGUAGGGGAGGCUGGAAUUCCUGGUGUAGCGGUGGGAUGCGCAGAUAUCAGGAGGAAUACCGGUGGCGAAGGCGGGUCUCUGGGCUGUUACUGACGCUGAGGAGCGAAAGCGUGGGGAUCGAACAGG
rnacentral:rRNA from 1 species